rnacentral:rRNA from 1 species
UACGGAGGAGGCAAGCGUUAUCCGGAAUUAUUGGGCGUAAAGCGUCCGUAGGUGGCCAUACAAGUCAGUUGUUAAAGAGUGGAGCUUAACUCCAUAGAGGCGAUUGAAACUGUAGGGCUAGAGUUAGGUAGGGGUUACGGGAAUUCCCAGUGUAGCGGUGAAAUGCGUAGAUAUUGGGAAGAACACCGGUGGCGAAAGCGCGUGACUGGGCCUUAACUGACACUGAGGGACGAAAGCUAGGGGAGCGAAA